CGAACGCUGGCGGUACGCUUAAUACAUGCAAGUCGCACGAGAAGUCUCGGAUGAGUAGAGUGGCGCACGGGUGAGUAACACGUAGGUGACCUGCCCCUUUGAAUGGAAUAACUCAGAGAAAUUUGGGCUAAUACCAUAUAAGCUGUAUGAAUCUGAAAGUAAUACAGGAAAUGAUGGCCUCUACUUGUAAGCCAUCGCUGAGGGAUGGGCCUGCGGGGCAUUAGCUAGUUGGUGAGGUAACGGCCCACCAAGGCUUCGAUGUCUAGCCGGUCUGAGAGGACGAUCGGCCACACUGGAACUGAGACACGGUCCAGACUCCUACGGGAGGCAGCAGUAGGGAAUAUUGCGCAAUGGGCGAAAGCCUGACGCAGCGAUACCGCGUGGGUGAGGAAGGUCCUUCGGAUUGUAAAACCCUGUCACAGUGGAACAAUGGUAGUGGUUCAAAUAGGGCCAUUGCGUGAUGGUACACUGAGAGGAAGCACCGGCCAACUUCGUGCCAGCAGCCGC
rnacentral:rRNA from 1 species